AUUGAACGCUGGCGGCAGGCUUAACACAUGCAAGUCGAGCGGGGUGAUGGUGCUUGCACUAUCACUUAGCGGCGGACGGGUGAGUAAUGCUUAGGAAUCUGCCUAUUAGUGGGGGACAACAUCUCGAAAGGGAUGCUAAUACCGAAUACGUCCUACGGGAGAAAGCAGGGGAUCACUUGUGACCUUUCGCUAAUAGAUGAGCCUAAGUCGGAUUAGCUAGUUGGUGGGGUAAAGGCCUACCAAGGCGACGAUCUGUAGCGGGUCUGAGAGGAUGAUCCGCCACACUGGGACUGAGACACGGCCCAGACUCCUACGGGAGGCAGCAGUGGGGAAUAUUGGACAAUGGGGGGAACCCUGAUCCAGCCAUGCCGCGUGUGUGAAGAAGGCCUUAUGGUUGUAAAGCACUUUAAGCGAGGAGGAGGCUCUUUUGGUUAAUACCCAAGAUGAGUGGACGUUACUCGCAGAAUAAGCACCGGCUAACUCUGUGCCAGCAGCCGCCGUAA
rnacentral:rRNA from 1 species